rnacentral:lncRNA from 1 species
CAGCUUUGCAUUCAACAAUUAGAACAAAUGGUUAAAAAAGAAUGCUUCAUUAAGUUGGCAUCACAUUCUGAAAUAUCAAACUGCCUUAGAAUUAGCACAGGGGUCAAAAGGGUAGGCAGAAUGUUGAAGAGAGAUACCAUCAGAUGGAGUCAGAGCCCAGGGUCUUUCUGUGCUGGCAACCUAAUGAAGUUUCCCUCACAGAUGAUAUGGAAUCUGAAGCAGAGAAAGCUUAAAUCACUUGUGCAGAGUUGCCCAUCCAGGAAGUGA